rnacentral:rRNA from 1 species
UGCUAUACGACCUAGCGGCGGACGGGUGAGUAAUGCUUAGGAAUCUGCCUAUUAGUGGGGGACAACAUUCCGAAAGGAAUGCUAAUACCGCAUACGCCCUACGGGGGAAAGCAGGGGAUCUUCGGACCUUGCGCUAAUAGAUGAGCCUAAGUCAGAUUAGCUAGUUGGUGGGGUAAAGGCCUACCAAGGCGACGAUCUGUAGCGGGUCUGAGAGGAUGAUCCGCCACACUGGGACUGAGACACGGCCCAGACUCCUACGGGAGGCAGCAGUGGGGAAUAUUGGACAAUGGGCGAAAGCCUGAUCCAGCCAUGCCGCGUGUGUGAAGAAGGCCUUUUGGUUGUAAAGCACUUUAAGCGAGGAGGAGGCUACUUGGAUUAAUACUCUAGGAUAGUGGACGUUACUCGCAGAAUAAGCACCGGCUAACUCUGUGCCAGCAGCCGCGGUAAUACAGAGGGUGCGAGCGUUAAUCGGAUUUACUGGGCGUAAAGCGUGCGUAGGCGGCUUUUUAAGUCGGAUGUGAAAUCCCUGAGCUUAACUUAGGAAUUGCAUUCGAUACUGGGAAGCUAGAGUAUGGGAGAGGAUGGUAGAAUUCCAGGUGUAGCGGUGAAAUGCGUAGAGAUCUGGAGGAAUACCGAUGGCGAAGGCAGCCAUCUGGCCUAAUACUGACGCUGAGGUACGAAAGCAUGGGGAGCAAACAGGAUUAGAUACCCUGGUAGUCCAUGCCGUAAACGAUGUCUAC